rnacentral:rRNA from 1 species
AAUGAACGUUGGCGGCGUGGAUUAGGCAUGCAAGUCGAGCGAGAACCGUAGCAAUACGGGGACAGCGGCGAAAGGGACAGUAAUGUGUAGGUACCUACCCCUGGGUUCGGGAUAGCUGCGGGAAACUGCAGGUAAUACCGAAUAACGUCUCAGGACCAAAGGUGUGAUUCCACCUGGGGAGGGGCCUGCAUCCUAUUAGCUUGUUGGCGGGGUAAUGGCCCACCAAGGCAACGAUGGGUAGCGGGUGUGAGAGCACGACCCGCGUCAUUGGGACUGAGAUACUGCCCAGACACCUACGGGUGGCUGCAGUCGAGGAUCUUCGGCAAUGGGCGAAAGCCUGACCGAGCGACGCCGCGUGCGGGAUGAAGGCCUUCGGGUUGUAAACCGCUGUCGUAGAGGAGGAAAUGCAGGGGGGUUCUCCCCUCUGUUUGACCUAUUCUAGGAGGAAGUACGGGCUAAGUUCGUGCCAGCCGCCGCAGUAACAC